rnacentral:rRNA from 2 species
AAAAAAGGUAAGCUACUAAGAGCGAAUGGUGGAUGCCUUGACUGGUAAAGGCGAUGAAGGACGUACUAGACUGCGAUAAGCUACGGGGAGCUGUCAAGAAGCUUUGAUCCGUAGAUUUCCGAAUGGGGCAACCCAAUGUAUAGAGAUAUACAUUACCUAUAUAGGAGCGAACGAGGGGAAUUGAAACAUCUUAGUACCCUCAGGAAAAGAAAUCAAUAGAGAUUGCGUCAGUAGCGGCGAGCGAAAGCGCAAGAGGGCAAACCCAGUGCUUGCACUGGGGGUUGUAGGACUGCAAUGUGCAAGAGGUGAGUUUAGCAGAACAUUCUGGAAAGUAUAGCCAUAGAGGGUGAUAGUCCCGUAUGCGAAAAACAAACCUUAGCUAGCAGUAUCCUGAGUAGGGCGGGACACGAGAAAUCCUGUCUGAAGCUGGGUCGACCACGAUCCAACCCUAAAUACUAAUACCAGAUCGAUAGUGCACAAGUACCGUGAGGGAAAGGUGAAAAGAACUGAGGUGAUCAGAGUGAAAUAGAACCUGAAACCAUUUGCUUACAAUCAUUCAGAGCACUAUGUAGCAAUACAGUGUGAUGGACUGCCUUUUGCAUAAUGAGCCUGCGAGUUGUGGUGUCUGGCAAGGUUAAGCAAACGCGAAGCCGUAGCGAAAGCGAGUCUGAAUAGGGCGCUUAGUCAGAUGCUGCAGACCCGAAACGAAGUGAUCUAUCCAUGAGCAAGUUGAAGCUAGUGUAAGAACUAGUGGAGGACUGAACCCAUAGGCGUUGAAAAGCCCCGGGAUGACUUGUGGAUAGGGGUGAAAGGCCAAUCAAACUUCGUGAUAGCUGGUUCUCUCCGAAAUAUAUUUAGGUAUAGCGUUGUGUCGUAAUAUAAGGGGGUAGAGCACUGAAUGGGCUAGGGCAUACACCAAUGUACCAAACCCUAUCAAACUCCGAAUACCUUAUAUGUAAUCACAGCAGUCAGGCGGCGAGUGAUAAAAUCCGUCGUCAAGAGGGAAACAACCCAGACUACCAGCUAAGGUCCCUAAAUCUUACUUAAGUGGAAAACGAUGUGAAGUUACUUAAACAACCAGGAGGUUGGCUUAGAAGCAGCCAUCCUUUAAAGAAAGCGUAAUAGCUCACUGGUCUAGUGAUUUUGCGCGGAAAAUAUAACGGGGCUAAAGUAAGUACCGAAGCUGUAGACUUGACUUUGUCAAGUGGUAGGAGAGCGUUCUAUUUGCGUCGAAGGUAUACCGGUAAGGAGUGCUGGAGCGAAUAGAAGUGAGCAUGCAGGCAUGAGUAGCGAUAAUUAAUGUGAGAAUCAUUAACGCCGUAAACCCAAGGUUUCCUACGCGAUGCUCGUCAUCGUAGGGUUAGUCGGGUCCUAAGUCGAGUCCGAAAGGGGUAGACGAUGGCAAAUUGGUUAAUAUUCCAAUACCAACAUUAGUGUGCGAUGGAAGGACGCUUAGGGCUAAGGGGGCUAGCGGAUGGAAGUGCUAGUCUAAGGUCGUAGGUGCUUAUACAGGCAAAUCCGUAUAAGAAUACACCGAGAACUGAAAGGCUUUUUGAAGUCUUCGGAUGGAUAGAAGAACCCCUGAUGCCGUCGAGCCAAGAAAAGUUUCUAAGUUUAGCUAAUGUUGCCCGUACCGUAAACCGACACAGGUGGGUGGGAUGAGUAUUCUAAGGCGCGUGGAAGAACUCUCUUUAAGGAACUCUGCAAAAUAGCACCGUAUCUUCGGUAUAAGGUGUGGUUCGCUUCGUAUUAGGAUUUACUCCGAAAGCGAAGAAACUUACAACAAAGAGUCCCUCCCGACUGUUUACCAAAAACACAGCACUCUGCUAACUCGUAAGAGGAUGUAUAGGGUGUGACGCCUGCCCGGUGCUCGAAGGUUAAUUGAUGGGGUUAGCAUUAGCGAAGCUCUUGAUCGAAGCCCGAGUAAACGGCGGCCGUAACUAUAACGGUCCUAAGGUAGCGAAAUUCCUUGUCGGUUAAAUACCGACCUGCAUGAAUGGCGUAACGAGAUGGGAGCUGUCUCAAAGAGGGAUCCAGUGAAAUUGUAGUGGAGGUGAAAAUUCCUCCUACCCGCGGCAAGACGGAAAGACCCCGUGGACCUUUACUACAGCUUGACACUGCUAUUUGGAUAAGAAUGUGCAGGAUAGGUGGGAGGCUUUGAGUAUAUGACGCUAGUUGUAUAUGAGCCAUUGUUGAGAUACCACUCUUUCUUAUUUGGGUAGCUAACCAGCUUGAGUUAUCCUCAAGUGGGACAAUGUCUGGUGGGUAGUUUGACUGGGGCGGUCGCCUCCCAAAUAAUAACGGAGGCUUACAAAGGUUGGCUCAGAACGGUUGGAAAUCGUUCGUAGAGUAUAAAGGUAUAAGCCAGCUUAACUGCAAGACAUACAAGUCAAGCAGAGACGAAAGUCGGUCUUAGUGAUCCGGUGGUUCUGUGUGGAAGGGCCAUCGCUCAAAGGAUAAAAGGUACCCCGGGGAUAACAGGCUGAUCUCCCCCAAGAGCUCACAUCGACGGGGAGGUUUGGCACCUCGAUGUCGGCUCAUCGCAUCCUGGGGCUGGAGCAGGUCCCAAGGGUAUGGCUGUUCGCCAUUUAAAGCGGUACGCGAGCUGGGUUCAGAACGUCGUGAGACAGUUCGGUCCCUAUCUGCCGUGGGCGUAAGAAGAUUGAAGAGAUUUGACCCUAGUACGAGAGGACCGGGUUGAACAAACCACUGGUGUAGCUGUUGUUCUGCCAAGAGCAUCGCAGCGUAGCUAAGUUUGGAAAGGAUAAACGCUGAAAGCAUCUAAGCGUGAAGCCAACUCUAAGAUGAAUCUUCUCUAAGCUCUCUAGAAGACUACUAGUUUGAUAGGCUGGGUGUGUAAUGGAUGAAAGUCCUUUAGCUGACCAGUACUAAUAGAGCGUUUGGCUUAUCUUUAAUAAAGCAU